rnacentral:rRNA from 1 species
UACGUAGGGGGGCAAGCGUUGUCCGGAUUUAUUGGGCGUAAAGAGCGUGUAGGCGGCCAUUCAGGUCAGCUGUGAAAACUCGAGGCUCAACCUCGAGACGUCGGUUGAAACCGUUUGGCUAGAGUCCGGAAGAGGAGAGUGGAAUUCCCGGUGUAGCGGUGAAAUGCGCAGAUAUCGGGAAGAACACCCGUGGCGAAGGCGGCUCUCUGGGACGGUACUGACGCUGAGACGCGAAAGCGUGGGGAGCGAACAGG